UUUGCUCUGCUCCUGCCACAUGCAUGUCAUAAGGAGAGUGUGACAGGCCAGGGCAGUUC
rnacentral:precursor_RNA from 1 species